rnacentral:rRNA from 1 species
GUGGGGAAUAUUGGACAAUGGGCGCAAGCCUGAUCCAGCCAUACCGCGUGGGUGAAGAAGGCCUUCGGGUUGUAAAGCCCUUUUGUUGGGAAAGAAAUCCUGUCGAUUAAUACUCGGUGGGGAUGACGGUACCCAAAGAAUAAGCACCGGCUAACUUCGUGCCAGCAGCCGCGGUAAUACGAAGGGUGCAAGCGUUACUCGGAAUUACUGGGCGUAAAGCGUGCGUAGGUGGUGGUUUAAGUCUGCUGUGAAAGCCCUGGGAUCAACCUGGGAAUUGCAGUGGAUACUGGAUCACUAGAGUGUGGUAGAGGGAUGCGGAAUUUCUGGUGUAGCAGUGAAAUGCGUAGAGAUCAGAAGGAACAUCCGUGGCGAAGGCGGCAUCCUGGGCCAACACUGACACUGAGGCACGAAAGCGUGGGGAGCAAACAGGAUUAGAAACCCGGGUAGUCC